rnacentral:rRNA from 1 species
GAUGAACGCUGGCGGCGUGCCUAAUACAUGCAAGUCGAGCGAACGGACGAGAAGCUUGCUUCUCUGAUGUUAGCGGCGGACGGGUGAGUAACACGUGGAUAACCUACCUAUAAGACUGGGAUAACUUCGGGAAACCGGAGCUAAUACCGGAUAAUAUUUUGAACCGCAUGGUUCAAAAGUGAAAGACGGUCUUGCUGUCACUUAUAGAUGGAUCCGCGCUGCAUUAGCUAGUUGGUAAGGUAACGGCUUACCAAGGCAACGAUGCAUAGCCGACCUGAGAGGGUGAUCGGCCACACGGGAACUGAGACACGGUCCAGACACCUACGGGAGGCAGCAGUAGGGAAUCUUCCGCAAUGGGCGAAAGCCUGACGGAGCAACGCCGCGUGAGUGAUGAAGGUCUUCGGAUCGGAAAACUCUGUUAUUAGGGAGGAACAUAUGUGUAAGUAACUGUGCACAUCUUGACGGUACCUAAUCAGAAAGCCACGGCUAACUACGUG